rnacentral:rRNA from 1 species
UACGUAGGGUGCAAGCGUUGUUCGGAAUUAUUGGGCGUAAAGGGCGCGUAGGCGGCGCGGUAUGUCUCUUGUGAAAUCUCCAGGCUCAACUUGGAGUCUGCAAGGGAAACUGCCGUGCUUGAGUACUGGAGAGGUGAGUGGAAUUCCCGGUGUAGCGGUGAAAUGCGUAGAUAUCGGGGAGGAACACCUGUGGCGGAAAGCGGCUCACUGGACAGUAACUGACGCUGAUGCGCGAAAGCUAGGGGAGCAAACAGG